GGUAGGAUCUGGGGUCCUUGUGCUGCUGUUACUGCUGAUAGGAGGAGUGCUGAAGUGUCUGCAAUCCAAACGAGACAUUGCUGUCCAGACUGAACCUAUAUAUGCCAAUACGCCAUGGUGAAUAAGAUGAAUCGGUCUCCACAGCAACAGGAUGACACACAAUGAAACACACACACCCUCCCCAAGAAAGAAUGUACAUAAGAAUCUGGCGGAUCUGAUGUAGACUACGCAAC